rnacentral:rRNA from 1 species
GUGGGGAAUCUUGCGCAAUGCGCGACAGCGUGACGCAGCAACACCGCGUGGGGGAAGAAGGCCUUCGGGUUGUAAACCCCUUUCAGGAGGGACGAAGGCCGGCCGGUGAACAGCCGUGUCGGUUGACGGUACCUCCAGAAGAAGCCCCGGCUAACUACGUGCCAGCAGCCGCGGUAAUACGUAGGGGGCAAGCGUUGUCCGGAAUCAUUGGGCGUAAAGCGCGCGUAGGCGGCCCGAUAAGUCCGCUGUAAAAGUCAACGGCUCAACCGUUGAAAGCCGGUGGAUACUGUCGGGCUAGAGUCCGGAAGAGGCAAGUGGAAUUCCUGGUGUAGCGGUGGAAUGCGCAGAUAUCAGGAGGAACACCUAUAGCGAAGGCAGCUUGCUGGGACGGUACUGACGCUAAGGCGCGAAAGCGUGGGGAGCAAACAGG